rnacentral:rRNA from 1 species
GACGAACGCUGGCGGCGUGCCUAAUACAUGCAAGUAGAACGCACAGUUUAUACCGUAGCUUGCUACACCAUAGACUGUGAGUUGCGAACGGGUGAGUAACGCGUAGGUAACCUGCCUGGUAGCGGGGGAUAACUAUUGUAAACGAUAGCUAAUACCGCAUAAUAUUAAUUAUUGCAUGAUAAUUAAUUGAAAGGAGCAAUUGCACCACUACCAGAUGGACCUGCGUUGUAUUAGCUAGUAGGUGAGGUAACGGCUCACCUAGGCGACGAUACAUAGCCGACCUGGGAGCGUGAUCGGCCACACUGGGAGUGGGACGCCGCCCAGACUCCUACGGGACGCAGCAGUAGGGAAUAUUCGGCAAUGGACGGGAGUCUGACCGAGCAACGCCGCGUGAGUGAAGGAGGUUCUCGGAUCGUAAAGCUCGGUUGUAAGGGAAGAACGGGUGUGAGAGUGGAAAGUUCACACUGUGACGGUAUCUUAACAGAAAGGGACGGCUAACUACGUG